GAGAAAUUUGAAUAAAAGGAAAUUAGGUUAGAAUCCUAAGCGAUCCGGUCACUGUAAUCUAGGGAGCAAUACUUAAUAUAUCCAUUGCAUGCCAUUUGUAUGUGAGAAGGGAAGUAACGCGUUGAUCUGUAAGCCAGGAAGCCUGCUUAAUAUUAA
rnacentral:ncRNA from 1 species